UGGCCAGAAAGCAAAGGGCUCUGGUUCACCACAGGCCCAGACAUCUGUGGGAGAGCUUUGGGCUGGAACUCAGGCUCUAUGGGAACCCUGAGAAAAUCAGACUGAAAUCCUGCCCAGGGAAAGCUGCAGUUGUCCAAGGAGAGCUCCAUUUCAAUGCAUGUGACAGAGACCACUACAGAAAGCCACAACCAAUCAAAUGCAGAGUUGUGGAGCCCAGUCCCAAGGCAUCCAUCUACAAACCAACAACUCUUGCACCUAAGGCUCAGGGAGCACUGGAGAAAGGAGGCAGAAAGAUUGGAAGAGCCAGAGGAUCAGGAAUUUUGUUGUAAGAUUAUAUCUCCUAAUCAAAACAGAAGCUACACCCUUAAAGUCUCACCAAUAUGACUGCCCAAAUGUGAGCUGAACAAGGAUGAUACCAACGAAUACACGAAGUGGAUGAGGGAAAACCCACAAGGCUUCAACUCUACACAAAGAAUUAUAGGCAACUGAGUAAAGCUGAGAUCAGAAAAUAUGGUCCUCCCCAGGUCUAUUGUUCUGACAUUUGCCAUUUUUUUCUCUGACCCUGUUCCUGAUUGGUGCAGCUGUUGAAGAUGCUGCAGUUGCAGCAUGUACAUCUGGAACAUUUGGCUGACUUGUUGAACUUCCCCCAGGGAGUACUCCAGGGGAAGCAUGGGAAGGGUGGAGAGGCCAGAACAGUUGCCUGCAAGUAGAGAUGCCAAUAGUGUCUGGCCAUUCUGUGGACCACCCUUGUAAAAAUUCACCUCAUUGUGACCCUCAGUUUCCCCACCUGCUCAUUGAAGGCUCAUGUUCUUUCAAAACUUCUGCAGCCCUGGAAGAAGAUAAACUUUUGGCUGUGGGUUCUCUCACACAGCACUGUGAAAGGGAUCAAUGCAUAUCUGUUGAAUGAAUUAACAUGUCAAGAAAUCCUAGGAAACUGUUUUACCCUUCAAGGGACAGCAUCACUUCAGCUCCACUUGGCACUAGGCACUUGGCACUAGGCUUUGACUGUGCCCCCAGACUCACUCUGGGAGUGAGACUGCCUGAUUCCCAGUCUGUUUGGCUCCCAGACUCCUAGGUCUCCUUUUCUUCUGGCGAGCCAUUGAAUUGCAAACACAGCAGGCAUGGUUUCAUUCCAAACCCUGAACUGUUUUAAUUAGUUUAACGUCUGUUAAACGCUUUGAAGAUUGAAAGCAACAGAUAAG